rnacentral:lncRNA from 1 species
GGAAAUGGAAAGGUGUACGGGGACAUUUGGGAGAUGGGAUCUGUACUGGAUCAGCUAUGUACAACAUUUUAGUUAGCACUUAAGUCUGUAGAAAAAUGUGAACUAGUGUAUAUACCGAGUUGAAGCUCGGAAUGCCAAAAGUACAUUUGGUACUACCUGGAUCGUUUUGGCCAUCUAGGUUGUUUGCAAUACUGAACUGAAGCUCACGACGUGUUGAGGUGCAGCUGCCAUCACUCAAAUUGAGUCGUCCAAUAACAGCUGGCAGUCCUGGUGCACGUAAACUUGGUUUUGGUGUUUUCGUUUUGUCCGGAUUUCCGUAGUCUGCAAAGAAAUUCAUAAUGUGGAAUGAUCAAGUCAAAUAGUUAUCAUGGAUGUUUCACAAUGAAAAUGAACCUGAAUUUUGCACAGCUCCAAGUGGAGAUUCUAGUUGCACGGUUGAUGUUGGAGGUAUCUGGAUGCGGAGAUCUGUUUAAAAUGGAGAGAGUGUUGCAGGUUAGCAACAUCAAUUAGCAUGGCAACUACUGAUUGCGAGGCAAGAGUAAUUAAGUGAACG